AUUGAACGCUGGCGGCAUGCCUUACACAUGCAAGUCGAACGGUAACGCGGGGCAACCUGGCGACGAGUGGCGAACGGGUGAGUAAUGUAUCGGAACGUGCCCAGUUGUGGGGGAUAACUGCUCGAAAGAGCAGCUAAUACCGCAUACGACCUGAGGGUGAAAGCGGGGGAGCGCAAGACCUCGCGCAAUUGGAGCGGCCGAUAUCAGAUGAGGUAGUUGGUGGGGUAAAGGCUCACCAAGCCAACGAUCUGUAGCUGGUCUGAGAGGACGACCAGCCACACUGGGACUGAGACACGGCCCAGACUCCUACGGGAGGCAGCAGUGGGGAAUUUUGGACAAUGGACGCAAGUCUGAUCCAGCCAUGCCGCGUGCGGGAAGAAGGCCUUCGGGUUGUAAACCGCUUUUGUCAGGGAAGAAACGCUCUGGGUUAAUACCUCGGGGUAAUGACGGCACCUGAAGAAUAAGCACCGGCUAACUACGUGCCAGCCGCCGCGGUAACAC
rnacentral:rRNA from 1 species